AUGAUAAUUAAUUAAUAUAGAUUGUGUUGUAUAUGUGACUAUGUGUGUUCAUAAUUUUUUUUCUUUUCAUGCGUUAUAACAAAAACAAACAAACAAUAAAACACUUGAAGCCCACUAAACAAUACGGAAGCCCAAUUAUUCCAAGAGAGCAAAACCCUUAAUGAAAACAGAUUUUGUGUUUAUGAUAUUUUCUAACAGAAAAAAAGAAAUAGGAAAAGACCAAAAAAAAAAACUUCGUCGUUUAUCUGAGAUAAAAAAAAAAUACUCUGCAAAAGAUAAAAAUCGAUUAGAGCUUCCAUGUCUCGCCAAUCCAAUUCCAAUCCGAUUCUGUUAGUUACUCAGUCUGAUUUUGUUUUCUGCGAGGAUAAUCCGUUCUACAUGAUGUGCGAAGAACAUGCUCCGAUUUGAAUCAAUUUUUUUUCACAAUCCCUAGGAUUGUAUAUGGAAGAUGAUUAUAGUCAAGCUUUGGGAAACAUUCACUACAGGAGAUUAUGGCUUGCGUGACGACGGCUUUGGAAGCUGCUUUGUUGCCAUCUUUGCCCGCUAAAGAAUUUCAAGACAUCGACCGCCCUCCUCAUCCUUCUCAUCAAACCAAGACUAAUUCAAGGGUUUCAUCAGUGUUGUUGGUAUAUUGGCGCCAAGAAUGGAGAACCUUCACCUGAACACGCCAAAAAGUCUUGUAUGGCCUAACAUCCCUCAAAAGAGCAAAUUGUGCAGCCAUUCUUGCGGGUGGUAUCAAAUAAGGGAGGAUUAGUUUGUUUGAUUUCGGCUUAAUACUGAAAUAAGGGAGUAUCAAUUAAGGAAUGUUUUGUUUGAGAAAAUCGGAUCAAAAACACAAAUAAGGUAAGAUCCGGGAGACAAAUUUGCGGGUCAAAAACAUUAAACAUCCGGGUCAAAAUUAAAAAAAAUCCGACCCGAUUAGGGACCCCAAAAACUGUUGCAAAAAUGUAUAGUAGAUUUAAUACAUAUAAACCUAUAAUAGAUGAAAAUUAACUUUCUGAAAA